GGUCCGUCGUGGUCGCCGCACCCUCUCCGUGCAGCGUCAAGGGCUGGAGCACCGAACAUGCUGCCACGGACAGGUUUUGGACCGCCGUAGCGACCACUGAAAUCACCUUAUCCGGCAGCUUGGUGUUCUUCAUGUGAUCAUCAUCUUCACUGGCUCCCAGGGACGAAUCCAGGGGGGACGAGGGGGGGCUAGACCCCCCCAACGAUUUUCGUUUUACUCGUUGGCGAUUAGCAGCCCGGCAGGAAAAAGUGACUAUUUUGCUAAUAGCGCCCCCCCUGACCACGUGAAGCCCAACAAAAUCACCAAAGCCCAUCUUUAGCACGCCUGCAGCAGUAGCCCAACAAAAAGGACAAGAUUGCUCAAAAAAAAAAAGGGCCAAGAUCAGAUCAGGAUCGUUUGUUUUUCUUGCGUGCGAUGCCUAUCGAUGAGGUCUAGCCGUCUAGGGCAGUUCUUGACGAGCGCCAACCCUAAAAAAAUGUUCUUGACCAGCGGCGUUUCAAUCUGAGCCUGAGCCGACGAUCCUUGCGCGCAAGAGGGCGUGUGUGUGCUGAUGAGGGCCGAGGGCCAUCCUUGCAUGAACGCGCGGCCGGCCGGCCGGCCGCGACCACAUUGAGAAGCGGCGAGCAAGGAAAAGGGGGUUAAGCACAGGACCACUAGAUUGACCAUAAAUUAGAAGACUGUCUGUGAAGACCAUAUAUUAGGCAUGAGUCAAGCUUGGAGCUGAAUUUGAGACCAACGCCGGUGCCCAUUCUAGAAACCUGCUAGUUGCAGAACGCCAUGAGUACUGUUGCAUGGAAAGUGGGAUCAUUGUUUGAGAUAUUUGACUAUUCAAUUGUUCAUGGAAAGAACUUUGCUCUGCCGAGGUGAAGGCCUAGAGACAGCAUCGAGCUAUGCUCACGGCGACGAGGAUGAAUGCAGGAGGAAGAAGAGUUUGGCAUCCCAAAAAUUUGAAUGUAAUUUUAUUUUUUUGGUAUGUGUGUGUUUGUAAGGACUUGUGAUGCUUAAAUACAAAAAUGCCUUAUGGCCUUACGCAAAUAAAAAGUAGCAUGCAAAUCA